CUGCUGAUCUCACUCUCGACAUUGCUAACAAGAUGCAGAAUAUCAUCUGUGUGGAGACGAUGAUGCACCUCACUUGCACCAAUAUGCCCGUAGAGAAGAUUGACCAUGCUCUUCAGACCAUCAAGUCCAACGGCAUUCAGAAUGUUCUUGCCCUCCGAGGUGAUCCCCCUCACGGCCAGGACAAGUUUGUCCAGGUCGAAGGCGGCUUCUCCUGUGCCCUUGAUCUGGUAAAGCCAUUGCUCAUUCUGCCCUGUUUUUAUUUCUUAAUAUACAUAUGUUACCAACUUUUAAUUCCUAUUCUAGGUGAAACAUAUCAGAUCUAAAUAUGGUGACUACUUUGGCAUCACAGUUGCCGGUUAUCCAGGUGCUUUUCAUAGACAUAUAUACAUAUAUAAGAGGCUUGUUCAUGUGGCUUUUGAUUAUUAAUAGUUUGCUUUCUUUGCUCAGAGGCACAUCCCGAUGCCAUAGGAAAUGAUGGUGUAGCCACACCUGAAGCUUAUCAGAAUGAUCUUGCUUACUUAAAGAGAAAGGUUUUACUCUUUAACUCAUUACUUGAUUUGAAAAUAUUGUCUUAAUUCUAAUUUAUAUUGGUUAAUUUUUGUGCUAAAAUCUUCUUUACUACAUAGGUUGAUGCGGGAGCUGAUCUGAUUGUUACUCAACUGUUUUAUGAUACUGAUAUCUUUAUCAAAUUUGUCAAUGACUGUCGCCAAAUGGGAAUUAACUGUCCUAUAGUGCCGGGUAUUAUGCCCAUUAAUAACUACAAGGGUUUCUUGCGAAUGACUGGCUUUUGCAAAACUAAGGUAUGCGGUAUAACAUGAUAUUUUUGAGCAUUAAAUAGUAUCAAUUUAGUAAAAUUUAUUCAAAUAGUGCAUGUACUAGUUGGAUGUUUUUGCAUAAAGGAAAUGAAAGCAGCAUCAUUCUUCUCAAAAGGCUAAAAGAUACAAGAUUCUGAAGGCCUCUAAUUUGGAAGGGCAUCCGAAUUCAUUCUGAUGCACUCUUUGCUUGUUUUUUCUUGGCAACUGAUUAUUACAACUGCUUAUAAAGAGUGGCCACAAAAGCUAUUUUUGGUGGCAAUUUCUGUUAACAUUUUUAAAAUGUAACACCUGCAUGGCUCAUUGUAGAUACCAGCUGAGAUUACUGCUGCCUUAGAGGCUAUCAAGGACAACGAAGAAGCUGUCAAAGCCUAUGGAGUUCACCUUGGAACAGAAAUGUGCCGCAAGAUUUUAGCUCAUGGGAUUAAGACAUUGCACCUUUAUACAUUAAACAUGG
rnacentral:lncRNA from 1 species